CGUAGCUCAAUUGGAUAGAGCGUUUGACUACGAAUCAAAAGGUUGUGGGUUCGACUCCUAUCG
rnacentral:tRNA from 1 species